UACAGAGGCCCCAAGCAUUAUCCGGAAUCAUUGGGCGUAAAGGGUGUCUCGGCGGCCAUAUUAGUCGUUCGUUAAAUCCGUGGGCUCAACCUGCGGCAUGCGAGCGAAACGGCAUAACUAGAGGGCGUGAGAGGUUUGCGGAACUCAUGGUGUAGGGGUGAAAUCCGUUGAUAUCAUGGGGAACACCAAAAGCGAAGGCAGCAAACUGGCACGUUUCUGACGCUGAAAUACGAAAGCGUAGGUAGCGAAUGGG
rnacentral:rRNA from 1 species